GACAGAGGGUGCAAACGUUGUUCGGAAUUACUGGGCGUAAAGCGCAUGUAGGCGGUUCGUAAAGUCAGAUGUGAAAGCCCUGGGCUUAACCCAGGAAGUGCAUUUGAAACUCACGAACUUGAGUCCCGGAGAGGAAGGCGGAAUUCUCGGUGUAGAGGUGAAAUUCGUAGAUAUCGAGAGGAACAUCGGUGGCGAAGGCGGCCUUCUGGACGGUGACUGACGCUGAGAUGCGAAAGCGUGGGUAGCAAACAGG
rnacentral:rRNA from 1 species